rnacentral:rRNA from 1 species
GAUGAACGCUGGCGGCGCGCCUAACACAUGCAAGUCGAACGAUUAAAGCACCUUCGGGUGUGUAUAAAGUGGCGAACGGCUGAGUAACACGUGGGCAACCUGCCCCUUUCAUUGGGAUAGCCACGGGAAACCGUGGAUAAUACCGAAUACUUCGAGACUUCCGCAUGGAAGACUCGAGAAAGCUCCGGCGGAGAGGGAUGGGCCCGCGGCCUGUUAGCUUGUUGGUGGGGUAACGGCCUACCAAGGCAAUGAUGGGUAGCUGGGUUGAGAGACCGACCAGCCAGAUUGGGACUGAGACACGGCCCAGACUCCUACGGGAGGCAGCAGUGGGGAAUCUUGCACAAUGGGCGAAAGCCUGAUGCAGCGGCGCCGCGUGCGGGAUGAAGGCCUUCGGGUUGUAAACCGCUUUCAGCAGGGACGAGGCGAAAGUGACGGUACCUGCAGAAGAAGCCCCGGCUAACUACGUG